UACGUAGGUGGCAAGCGUUGUCCGGAUUUACUGGGCGUAAAGAGCGCGCAGGCGGUCGUUCAAGUCGCGUGUGAAAGCCCCCGGCUCAACUGGGGAGGGUCAUUCGAUACUGAUCGACUCGAAGGCAGGAGAGGGUAGUGGAAUUCCCGGUGUAGUGGUGAAAUGCGUAGAUAUCGGGAGGAACACCAGUGGCGAAGGCGGCUACCUGGCCUGUUCUUGACGCUGAGGCGCGAAAGCUAGGGGAGCAAACGGG
rnacentral:rRNA from 1 species